rnacentral:rRNA from 1 species
AUUGAACGCUGGCGGCAGGCUUAACACAUGCAAGUCGAGCGAGCGGCGGACGGGUGAGUAAUGUCUGGGAAACUGCCUGAUGGAGGGGGAUAACUACUGGAAACGGUAGCUAAUACCGCAUACCAUCAGAUGUGCCCAGAUGGGAUUAGCUGGUAGGUGGGGGAACGGCUCACCUAGGCGACGAUCCCUAGCUGGUCUGAGAGGAUGACAGGCAAAACUGGAACAGAGACACGGCGCAGACUCCAACGCGAAGCAGCAGUGGGGAAAAAUGCCCACUGUACGCGAGCCUGAGGCAACCGUGCCGUGGGUGAGAAGAAGGCCUUCGGGUUGUAAAGCACUUGCAGCGAGGAGGCGUUACUCGCAGAAGAAGCACCGGCUAACUCCGUGCCAGCAGCCGCGGUAAUU